rnacentral:rRNA from 1 species
CGGAGGAAAAGAAACCAACAGGGAUUGCCCCAGUAACGGCGAGUGAAGCGGCAAGAGCUCAAAUUUGAAAGCUGGCUCCUUCGGGGUCCGCAUUGUAAUUUGUAGAGGAUGCUUCGGGAGCGGUCCCCAUCUAAGUGCCCUGGAACGGGACGUCAUAGAGGGUGAGAAUCCCGUAUGGGAUGGGGGUCCGCGCCCGUGAG